AUUGAACGCUGGCGGCAUGCCUUACACAUGCAAGUCGAACGGUAACAGGGAGCUUGCUCCGCUGACGAGUGGCGAACGGGUGAGUAAUGUAUCGGAACGUACCAUUCAGUGGGGGAUAACGUAGCGAAAGUUACGCUAAUACCGCAUAUUCUGUGAGCAGGAAAGCAGGGGAUCGCAAGACCUUGCGCUGAUUGAGCGGCCGAUAUCAGAUUAGCUAGUUGGUGAGGUAAAGGCUCACCAAGGCGACGAUCUGUAGCGGGUCUGAGAGGAUGAUCCGCCACACUGGAACUGAGACACGGUCCAGACUCCUACGGGAGGCAGCAGUGGGGAAUUUUGGACAAUGGGGGCAACCCUGAUCCAGCCAUGCCGCGUGAGUGAAGAAGGCCUCGGUUGUAAAGCUCUUUCGGUCCGGGAAAAGUACGACAUCAGUUAAUACCUGGUGUGGAUGAUGGUACCGGAAUAAGAAGACACCGGCUAACU
rnacentral:rRNA from 1 species